rnacentral:rRNA from 1 species
GGGCUAGCGUUGUCCGGAAUCAUUGGGCGUAAAGCGCGCGUAGGCGGCCCGGUAAGUCCGCUGUGAAAGUCAAAGGCUCAACCUUUGAAUGUCAGCGGAUACUGCCGGGCUAGAGUCCGGAAGAGGCGAGUGGAACUCCUGGUGUAGCGGUGGAAUGCGCAGAUAUCAGGAAGAACACCAACGGCGAAGGCAGCUCGCUGGGACGGAACUGACGCUAAGGCGCGAAAGCGUGGGGAGCGAACAGG